CUUCCCCUAGCCGGAACGAAAAGUAGGUUUGGUAUCCCAGGUACUGAAAUGCUUUUGGCUUUGUGGUGGUGAUGUUGUGUUUGCAAAUGGUCUGGUAUGCCAGACAU
rnacentral:misc_RNA from 4 species